CAUGUGCACGCCCACCAUCCUCAUCUCUCCACCUGUGCACCUCUUGUAGACUUGGAUUGACUUUCCGAGGCAACUCGGUCGGGAGGAUUGCUGGCAUCAGCUGGCUUUCUUUGCAUUUCCGGGUCUACGUUUUUCAUAUACCCCAUUGUAUGUAACAGAAUGUAAUAUUGGGCCCUUGUGCCUAUAAACCUUAUACAACUUUCAGCAACGGAUCUCUUGGCUCUCGCAUCGAUGAAGAACGCAGCGAAAUGCGAUAAGUAAUGUGAAUUGCAGAAUUCAGUGAAUCAUCGAAUCUUUGAACGCACCUUGCGCUCCUUGGUAUUCCGAGGAGCAUGCCUGUUUGAGUGUCAUUAAAUUCUCAACCUUUAUCAGCUUUUGCUCAUAAUGGCUUGGAUAUGGGGGUCUAUUUUGCUGGCUUCUUUACGGAUGGUCAGCUCCCCUUAAAUGCAUUAGCCGGUGCCCCGCGUGGACUGUCUAUUGGUGUGAUAAUUAUCUACGCCGUGGACAUCUGCAAUCAUAUGGGUUUGCACUGCUUCCAACCGUCUGUUCAAUCAGACAAUACAUGACAAUUUGACCUCAAAUCA
rnacentral:rRNA from 1 species